rnacentral:rRNA from 1 species
UAUGUAGGCGGUUCUCCAAGUCUGGUGUGAAAUCUCCCGGCUCAACCGGGAGGGUGCAUUGGAAACUGGGGGGCUGGAGUGCGGGAGAGGGAAGCGGAAUUCCUGGUGUAGCGGUGAAAUGCGUAGAUAUCAGGAGGAACACCCGCGGUGUAGACGGCUUCCUGGACCGUAACUGACGCUGAGACACGAAAGCGUGGGGAGCAAACA